rnacentral:rRNA from 1 species
AAUAGAUACCCAGGUAGUCCACGCCGUAAACGAUUAGUGCUAAGUGUUAGAGGGUUUCCGCCCUUUAGUGCUGCAGCUAACGCAUUAAGCACUCCGCCUGGGGAGUACGGCCGCAAGGCUGAAACUCAAAGGAAUUGACGGGGGGCCCGCACAAGCGGUGGAGCAUGUGGUUUAAUUCGAAGCAACGCGAAGAACCUUACCAGGUCUUGACAUCCUCUGCCAACCCUAGAGAUAGGGCGUUCCCCUUCGGGGGACAGAGUGACAGGUGGUGCAUGGUUGUCGUCAGCUCGUGUCGUGAGAUGUUGGGUUAAGUCCCGCAACGAGCGCAACCCUUGAUCUUAGUUGCCAGCAUUUAGUUGGGCACUCUAAGGUGACUGCCGGUGACAAACCGGAGGAAGGUGGGGAUGACGUCAAAUCAUCAUGCCCCUUAUGACCUGGGCUACACACGUGCUACAAUGGAUGGUACAAAGAGCUGCGAACCCGCGAGGGUGAGCGAAUCUCAUAAAGCCAUUCUCAGUUCGGA